CACGGAGGGUUUGAUCCUGGCUCAGGAUGAACGUUUGCGGCGCGCCUAAGACAUGCAAGUCGUACGGGCCUCGCGUUCUUCGGAAGGCGAGGUCAGUGGCAGACGGGUGCGUAACACGUGGGUGACCUGCCCCGAAGUGGGGGAUAACCACUCGAAAGGGUGGCUAAUACCGCAUGUGCUUGGCGAUUCGGUUCGCCAAGGAAAGCCGCAAGGCGCUUCGGGAGGGGCCCGCGGCCCAUCAGCUCGUUGGUAGGGUAACGGCCUACCAAGGCGAUGACGGGUAGGGGGCGUGAGAGCGCGGCCCCCCACACUGGCACUGAGACACGGGCCAGACUCCUACGGGAGGCAGCAGUUAGGAAUCUUGCACAAUGGGCGAAAGCCUGAUGCAGCGACGCCGCGUGGGCGAAGAAGGCCUUCGGGUCGUAAAGCCCUUUUCUGGGGGAAGAGGAAGGACGGUACCCCAGGAAUAAGUCUCGGCUAACUACGUGCCAGCAGCCGCGGUAAAACGUAGGAGGCGAACGUUAUCCGGAUUUACUGGGCGUAAAGCGCGCGAAGGCGGCUUCGCAAGUCGGGCGUGAAAUCUCCCGGCUCAACUGGGAGGGGCCGUUCGAUACUGCGAGGCUUGAGGACGGGAGAGGGGAGUGGAAUUCCCGGUGUAGCGGUGGAAUGCGCAGAGAUCGGGAGGAACACCAGUGGCGAAGGCGGCUCCCUGGCCCGGUCCUGACGCUCAAGCGCGAAAGCGUGGGGAGCGAACGGGAUUAGAUACCCCGGUAGUCCACGCCGUAAACGAUGGGUGCUAGGUGUUGGUGGUGUUGACCCCAUCAGUGCCGAAGCUAACGCGAUAAGCACCCCGCCUGGGGACUACGGCCGCAAGGCUAAAACUCAAAGGAAUUGACGGGGGCCCGCACAAGCAGCGGAGCGUGUGGUUUAAUUCGAUGCAACACGAAGAACCUUAC
rnacentral:rRNA from 1 species